GAAGUCAGACAGGCAGUCGCCGCGCCCUUCGGGGCGGGGAGGAAAGUCCGGGCUCCGUAGAGCAGGAUGCCGGCUAACGGCCGGGCGCCGUGAGGCGACGGAAAGUGGAACAGAGAGCUGAACCGCCGAUGGCUGGACUUGUCGCCCGCAAGGGCGACAAAGUCUUCAUCCAGACAGGGAAACCUGGCUGGACGGCACAGGCAAGGGUGAAAAGGUGCCCGGACAAGGCGUAAGCCGCGACCGGGGAGCGGGGAAACCCGCUGCGGUAAGAGCGCACCGCGGACGUGGUAACACGGACGGCAGGCUAAACCCCAUCCGGAGCAAGACCAAAUAGGGGGGCGCUAACGUGGCUCGCGUUGUCCCCGGGUAGGUUGCUUGAGCCUGUCGGUAACGGCAGGCCUAGAGGAAUGACUGUCCAACGACAGAACCCGGCUUAUCGGCUGACUUCCCCC
rnacentral:RNase_P_RNA from 1 species